CAUGCCGUAAACGGUGGGCGCUAGGUGUGAGGGUCUUUUCACGACUUUCGUGCCGUAGCUAACGCAUUAAGCGCCCCGCCUGGGGAGUACGGCCGCAAGGCUAAAACUCAAAGGAAUUGACGGGGGCCCGCACAAGCGGCGGAGCAUGUGGAUUAAUUCGAUGCAACGCGAAGAACCUUACCUGGGCUUGACAUACACCGGAUCGGGCUAGAGAUAGUCUUUCCCUUUGUGGCUGGUGUACAGGUGGUGCAUGGUUGUCGUCAGCUCGUGUCGUGAGAUGUUGGGUUAAGUCCCGCAACGAGCGCAACCCUUGUCUUAUGUUGCCAGCAUUUGGUCGGGGACUCAUGAGAGACUGCCGGGGUCAACUCG
rnacentral:rRNA from 1 species